UACGGAGGGUGCGAGCGUUGUCCGGAAUCAUUGGGCGUAAAGGGCGCGUAGGUGGCCCGGUCAGUUCGUGGUGAAAGCGCGGGGCUCAACCCUGCGUCGGCCAUGAAUACUGCCGCGGCUGGAGCACUGUAGAGGCAGGCGGAAUUCCGGGUGUAGCGGUGGAAUGCGUAGAUAUCAGGAGGAACACCGGUGGCGAAGGCGGUUCUCUGGGCAUUACCUGACGCUGAGGAGCGAAAGUGUGGGGAGCGAACAGG
rnacentral:rRNA from 1 species